rnacentral:rRNA from 1 species
CAGCAGCCGCGGUAAUACGAAGGGGGCUAGCGUUGUUCGGAUUUACUGGGCGUAAAGCGCACGUAGGCGGACUUUUAAGUCAGGGGUGAAAUCCCGGGGCUCAACCCCGGAACUGCCUUUGAUACUGGAAGUCUUGAGUAUGGUAGAGGUGAGUGGAAUUCCGAGUGUAGAGGUGAAAUUCGUAGAUAUUCGGAGGAACACCAGUGGCGAAGGCGGCUCACUGGACCAUUACUGACGCUGAGGUGCGAAAGCGUGGGGAGCAAACAGGAUUAGAUACCCCUGUAGUCCCUGUCUCUUAUAC